rnacentral:rRNA from 1 species
CUACUGCGGGGCAUGCAGCGACGGGAAAACGAAGGGUCCUGGGGUUAAUCGGAAUUACUGGGCGGAAAACGGUCGCAGGGGGGUUGUUAAGCGAGAUGUGAAAGGCCUUGGAUUAAACUAGGAAUAGCAUUUCGAACUGGCGAACUAGAGUCUUGUAGAGGGGGGUAGAAUUCCAGGUGUAGCGGUGAAAUGCGUAGAGAUCUGGAGGAAUACCGGUGGCGAAGGCGGCCCCCUGGACAAAGACUGACGCUCAUGCACGAAAGCGUGGGGAGCAAACAGGAUUAGAUACCCGAGUAGUC